rnacentral:rRNA from 1 species
UACGUAGGUGGCAAGCGUUAUCCGGAUUUACUGGGUGUAAAGGGCGUGUAGGCGGGGACGCAAGUCAGAUGUGAAAACCACGGGCUCAACCUGCGGCCUGCAUUUGAAACUGUGUUUCUUGAGUACUGGAGAGGCAGACGGAAUUCCUAGUGUAGCGGUGAAAUGCGUAGAUAUAUGGAAGAACACCAGUGGCGAAAGCGGCUCUCUGGUCUGUAACUGACGCUGAGGUUCGAAAGCGUGGGUAGCAAACAGG